CUGAGUGGAUAUUUCACGAAGUAUUUGUUCGAGUACUACACUUAAAUGUGAUGAGAAAUAAUGAAUCUCAGGAUCCAUGAAUUUCAUGAAGUUUUUGAUAUCCCUCAGUAAGAAAUCAAAUGUUUAGAUCCUUUGUUGUCAUAGUCUUCAUCUCGUCCUACUUUUUUGAGGGUCUAUUGGUUGCCAAUUUAAGUUUACAAGAAACAGUAAAAGAAGUACAUUCCUGUCCUAAAACGAAAAAGGAGUGGCUGAAAGCAUCUAUCGAGAAAAAUUGUUCUGCCUUACAUAGUUCACAAGAUGUGAAAUAUGAAUAUCUCUGCGUUAUAAACGAAUGGGGUAAUAGUACGAUUGAAGUUUGCACAGUCAACAGAAAUAUAUUAUUCGGGAAAUGUGCGGAGUAUAACUAUGGGGCAAAGCGUAUUCAAAGCAGUAACAUGAAGCUGUGUUCAAACUUUGGUCCUCCUUGUCCCGUUGUAUAUAACUCGUCAGAUUCAUACAUGUGUAUGUAAUCAAGGAUGUUAUGAUUUUUUAAAGUCCAAAGAUAAACAAAGCACAUCAAAUCUUAAUUCAAACUUUUCCAAUUCUGAAAUAUCAGAGGAGGAUUUUGAAAUAAUGAUUAUUGUCUUAAUUUCUGCAGUCAUCACACUAAGUGUUUUUGUAUCGAUCAUAAUAUGGAAGCGUUACAGUAAAUGGAAAAAUCAUAAUACAGACAACACAUCUGCUACGACGGAGGAGGAGAGCAGACAGAGUUUUGUAUCCAAGAGCUCAGGAAACGACGACAUCUCGAAUGGAAAAACUACUAAUUGUUUACACUUUUUGUGAGGAAAAUAAACAAAAAAUGGUGGGUUUUCCCCCCAAAAAAGGAUUCUAGGAAAUGACACAAAUAUUUUUUCCUGGUUGAAAAAAAAUAAUGCAUAAAUGCAUUAAAUGUAUAAGACCUUUACAAAGAUACACAGCGGGUUCCAGUAAAUGUUCAGCCAAGUCUCUUUCUUUACUCCUCAUAAAGAUAUUUACUUUUGACAAUUUGAAAUCACAAUACCUUACCAAAAUCAACAGCUUAAGAACUUUCCAGUUAUCAACUUUAUACAAAACCAUUCCCUGCAAAUGUUUACUUUUAAACUACGGAGUUUUAAUUUCUCAGUUGGUUCGAUGUGCAAGAGCAUGCUUCAUAUAUGUACAAUUUGUAAAGCGAGGUAGAUUAUAGACAAACGGGUUGAAGAAACGAGGAUAUUAGUUGUCUCGCUUAAAGUCAUCAUUUCGCUAGUUCUAAGGCCGAUACAAUGACCUUGUCAGCAAACGCAAUCUAUCAUUGAGUCAAAUGGUGUCCGAUUUUUUCAUAAGAAUUGUUGGCACAUUAUUUACACACUGAAUUGACGAUGGAUUUUCCAUUAUUUCACGAUUGUUGUAGGGGGGAGGCAGAUCUGGAAGGGUUUAAGGGGAAUGGGACGAAACACGGGUCAUAGGAAGCGAUGGUAUAUAUAAUGAUAUUAGAAAAGCUAUAAAGUUUCUCUAUAUUUCGAAGGGAAAUAAAAUUAAUCGUCUCAAACAAAAUAUAAAUUUAUGAUCUUAUCCUUAGAAUGUAGACCUAAAACUCAAAAGAGGUCUUGUUUAAAAGAAUAAAAAUGACAUUGAAAAAGCUCAAAUGCUUUGUAUUUGAAGUGAAACUGACGCGUCUUUCUGAUUUGAUAUAUGAGAUAAGGAACAUUAUUUAAGCUUAGAAAUCAAUUAAACAAUACAAAAUUUGGAGCAGAGCAAACACGGACCUCUUUAACAUCGGAAUUGGGUUCAGGUACGUACCAUGAUGGAAUAAGCAAUCUCUGCUAAAACCGCCGUAUGCUCAUUUUAAUGAUCAGGAAAUAACUGAAAAAUUCGUCGAUAAUCAAGUGUAUGAAUAAUGGUCUUAGAAUUAGUAUUUAAAAAAGCAAGUCAACAUUUGACGUAAUGAUAGAGUCGUGUGCAGACACGGUCAUUGUGUCGACCAUAGAACUUACGAAAUGUUAAUUGUAAGCUAGAUUGUUUUAAUUCUUUGUUUCAUCAAUUUGUUUGUCAAUAUCCUACUUCCUUUUAAGGAAGUGAACGUAGAAAUAGAGCAACAAGGAUGUUUCACAUAAUCAGAAACAAAAGUUAAAUGAGUUUAAGGCAGCCAACCUAUAGACUACAUUUUAAGUUCUAAUAUACAU